UUCUGUUUGGAGUUUCUGUUUUUCUGUUAUGAUUGGACGCUGUACCAGUGCAAAACGCACACGGAGAAUGGAAGCAUCGGCAGAGGGAGAACCAGCCAAGCUCUUCGAACCUGAACAACCCUCCUGUGAGAACAGGCGCUCGCUCCGAAGAUGCUGGAACCAAUAAUGCAAAGGAUGGGAAGUACCACGCAGCCAAGCCAAGCGUUUGCCUCUGAUGGAGCACAACCUCCAGGAAGCAGAAAGUAGGUCAGGGUGAUAAGGCUGAGCACAGACGGGGAAAGCAGAGCAGGAAGGAAACAUCCCUGGCUAGGGCUGCCCUGGGAAGGGGCCGUCUGCUGCUGCCAGCAGCUGAGUUCUCUAAUCCUUUCUCCUUCAAACCCACUGUCCCUGAAGCUGUGCUAUCAGCAGCAUAAAUGAAGGGCGAGCCCUCUGCCUGGAUUUGUGUGGGGACAGCCUGGAAAAUCCUGCAGCUAAAUCAGGUGUUUUGGAAUUGCUGAGGUUACAAAAGGUCCUGGAGGCGCUGUGCAUCCUAGGACGCAAGGGAAGCAUGUUCAGGCUUUAAGCAAAUUGUAACACUUGCAAGAGAAAUGGAAAACAUAGCUGGGAGCUUUGUGUCAUGGGUCUAAUUUAGACCCUGGUAAAACACUGCAGGCUGCCCAGAAGCACUGAAACACUCCUCACCUCCCAAAAGCAGCGCAGAGCAGGCAGCUGGGAUGCAGCCCAGUGCAGAAGCAGUCUCGUGGACCCAAACUGCAGGGGCAAGGGGAGAUUGGGUUGGUCCUUAUGGUGAGCCAUAAGGUUGGAGCAGCACAGGGAGCUCACUGCUAAAACUGGAUGGCUCAAGUUCCCCAAAAUGGGCCUUUCUGCUUUAAAUAGCACCCAGAUGGUGCGAGAGGGGAUGUCAGGAAGAACUCAAGCUGUUACUGAGAGGAGGGAGCUGGAGGAAAAGGUGCAAGCGCAGGAGCAGCAACAGUCUCACCCAGGGUUUGCCCUAGAAACUGCAGCACUGGGGUUUAUCUGUCUGUGGGGCUUUAACGGGGCUGAGAGGAGCUGGGCAGGAGGGGACAGAGCGGGCACCCGCAUCCCCCCCUCAGUGCAGGCACCAAACCUGCUGGGUUUGUGCUGAUGUGUGCGGAUAUGCUGAUGGCCUCAUUAAUCAUCCCUACCUGCAGCCAUAAUUGGGCUCAUUUCACGUGGAUUCCAGGGGCUUGGGAGAAACAAUCCAGGAUGGUGCUGGG
ensembl:lncRNA